rnacentral:lncRNA from 10 species
AGAGGUUGCAGUGAGCCGAGAUCACAACAUCGCAGUGGUGUGUUCUUGGCUCACUGCAGCCUCAAACUCAAGGGCUCAAGUGACCCUCCUGCCUCAGCCUCUGGAGUAGCUGGGACCACAGGCAGAUGCUCCCAUGCCUGGCUAGUUUUUACAUUUUUUGUGAAGACUGCAUCUUGCUAUGUUGCCCAGGCUAGUUUCAAGUGAUUCUCCCCCUUCAGCCUCCUGAAUCACUGGGGGAAAUGUGGACAAUUUUCUACGUAACCAGCACAGAGAUGAAAACUGGCAAGGCACCUGGCAGGUGUUUGUGGAGUUUAUUUAAAGAGCAAACCCACUUGAUCAAAGGGAGAUCCCUGGGGAGGUAAAGGGCCCUGUGGUCAGGUGGGUUGGGAAGGUCCAGGAUCGAUUUUCAAAAAGAAGGAAGUGGGGAACAGGGUGCAAGACAAGUAGAUUGAAAGGCUAAAGCGACUGCGAGAUUGGGCCACGACGAAGUCGCAGGUGAUGUUGGUUUCAGGGUCUGCUGUGUAGGAGCAGGUCCCCCAGAGCGGGUGGGGGAUGGACAAAUGGGCUGCGGGACGCCCAGCUGCUGUGAUGACCUCUGGGGUGUGUGGGAGGGAGGGAAGGAGAGAGGUGGUUGUGUUGGGGAAGCGGGGCCUCUGUCUGUGAGCCCACAAGUCGCCCUGUGGUGGUUUUGUCCCCACUGCUUCCUUCCAGGUGAACUUUUCUAUUUGACGUUUGGUGACAUUGGGGAAGUGACAUUGGCCUCCCUGCUCUCAUCUGACUCAGCUCUUCCCUGCGGUGAGGGGAGGGCUCAGCUUGGCCGUCUCUGCAGAAGUUCUCCAUCCAGCGGGAGAAACUGACCUGCUAACCAAUGAAGGAUGAAAAAGGAGCCAGGGCCAGAUGAUCCUGCCAGCGGAGGUCACCACGGAGCUUCCCCAGAGGCUGCACAGAAUGAAGUGGCUUGCUGGGCAACAAGGCUCUGAGGUCAGGGCUGACAUGGGGGGUGGAAGGGUGAGGAUCAGAAUCAGCAUCUGGUGACGUCAGCCUGCGUUUGGGAGCCACCCAGAAGUUCCAUGUGUGUCAGGGAGAGGCUGGAAGGGCAGAUGGUAGCCCCUGGGGAAGGCAUCCUGUCCAGCGAAGAAAUGCGUUCCUUCUCCUGCAGGUUGUGAAGAGCAGCAGCAGAUUUAAAUUUAGUAGCAGCAGAUACAUUGCUUCAAAUUCUGGUUUUGAGUCAUGUUGAAGCCAGAUACACUUUUUGCUCAAAAGUAGAAAAAAUGCCCCUAAGUCCAGCAUAAUGGAUUUGCUGAGUGCACUGUAGCCAUCUGAAAAUACACGGAUGUGUGCAGCACAACCACACUGCACACCUUAGAAUGUGGAAUGAUUUUGCACACCAAUUCCUGGUGAUUCCACUGAGGAAGUAAAGAUAAAGGACUGUGCUGUCUCUUUCCUCUCUGGACUGCUGGGGUCCUUGUCCAGGUACUGGUGGGCAGCUUGGACCCGUGGAGCCUGUGGGAACCGUGGCUCAGCUCUGUGGCUCCUGCCUGGUGUACUUGGUGGGGGACAUCACCUCUCACGAUCGGUUUCUUCUGUAAAGCUGGAGGACAAAGCUUACUUCCCAAGGCUAUUGUGAGGAUUAGGUCUGAUGAAUGUAUCUUCCAAUGCUAUUGUUGGGUCUUUUUUUUUUUUUUUUUCCUAAUGUGUAAGUAGUCACUUCAGAUCUUAAUUAAGGAGUGGUUCCUGUCUGCAGAUUUUGGGGGGGUCUCUGUGCCGUGUGAGCUAGUCUGUGACACCUGCGUGGCUCUAUCUAGGAGAUGGGAGUAGAUCCCCUCUGCUAAAAUUGAUUGAAAAAUUACAGUGGCUGAUUGGUUAGCGUCCUUGAAAUUUGUAAAAUCUGCAACAAACCUAACUCUGAUGUGUCUUACUUCACAUUGUGAAUAUGCUCUUCUAUUGCCUUCUCAGAAUCCACGUACAGUUAGUGAGGGAUUUUGGCUUUUUUAACAGGUAAGACUAAUUUUGGUGCACAUUGAGUAUGUGCCACAAUGCUUUACUAAAUCCUCUGGAUCUUUAAAGGUAUGUUAGUUCUCAGAGGCUGCAGAAACACAGUACCACCAAUCGGGUGGCUUAGAACAAUGUCAACGCCUUGUCUCCCAGCCCUGGAGGACAGAAGUCUGAGGUGUCAGCAGCGUUGGCUCCUCCUGAGGCUGCGUGGGAGCCUCUGUCCAGCCUCUCUUCCGCUCCCGGCACCUCCAGUGUGCUGGGGCUGGUAGAUGGCAUCUUCGUCUCAGUGUGGCUGUGUCCAAAUCCCUCCCUUUAAUAAGGGCACCCGCCUAUUGGAUUGAAGCCCACCCUAAUGACCUCAUUUUAACUUGAUUGCCCUGUAAAAACCUUAUUUCCAAGUAAGUUCACACUCUGAAGUACGGUGGGUAGGAUUUCAAAGUAUCUUUUUUUGGGGGGGCGGGCACAAUUUAACCCAUAACAAAGGGCAUCUUUGCUUCUGAACUAUUAGCUGAUUUAGUCUUCCUACCAUUUAAUGAAAAUUCAUUUGCAAUUACAGUUGUGCUAUCAUUUCAUUUUAGUGUUUAUCUCUAAAGAAACUAAAUUUAGUUCUUUAUUUUCUUUCCUUACUCUUUUGUGUUGUGAACAUAUCAUAAUUUAAUUUUUAUAUGGCUUUUUAAGUGGAUGUGACUCUUGUUUCUUUUCUUCCAGCACUUUAGAUCCACUCUAGAAAAUGACAUACGGUGCAUCGCAUAGAAGUGGGUAAAAUCCUAAUUGCAGAGGAAAUUUUUCUUAGUCAAGUGCUGUAUUUUAAAAAUAAAUGAUUAGAUCUCUCACAGAGUAAUCCUCCCUUACAUUCUGAAAAGAGCUUGCAGUCUAUCCAAUUGAACUGACCUUCACUGAUGAAAUUAAAGUGGAAUUCAGCUGGAGAGCAAGUACCCAAAUGGAGAAGAAGAAAGGCAAUCCCUCUGGGCCAGGCACUGUAGCUUGUGUGAAAAUUGUCAGAAUCGAAAUGGAGCCGCUAAUGUUAAGAAAACCCUGACAAACAGAGCCGGGGAAGGCCAUGAAGAGAGGGUUCUUGCGCGUGCAUGCCUGAUAACAAAAAGGACUCUCUGGAAAAACCGCAACCUUGCACAAAGGCCACUGCAAUCUCCCACAAAAAACUAGUCCUGCAAGGACAUGGCCCAGCCACUGGCUGUCCUACUUUGAACUGGCAUCGCCUUCGUUAUGGAUCUUUGUAGCCACAGAUAAUUAUUUUCAAACAAUUGUGCAAUCCGCCUCAUUUUUUUUAAAGCCUUUGCUUUCCUUGCCUCUCUGAAUAUGCACAAGUUUACCAUGGCAUGCAUAUUUCUACUGCAAAGCUCUAUUGCAAAAUAAAUAUCUGUUUCUUUUAGAGAUCCUCUCUGUUAUUUAGGUUGUCACUUGCAUGCAACAGGCAUUGAAUAAAUGCUGAAUUGACUUAAAUUUGUUCUGAGGAUGAGGCAGUGCUGGCUGAGAAGGAGCCGGGGUCUCCUGGUGCGCUUUCCACGCCCCAGAAGGUCCGCUUCCACCUCAGCCCCACACUGCUCGGUCUCAGCAACCUGACAUGCCAGGGCUGAGCAGGUACGAAAUACCUUGGCAUUCCUGCCUUGUCGGAGUCUCAGGGCACCUACGAAGGAGGCAACGGGCCUAUUUCCCUUUACAGGACACCUUCAGGACACGGGUUUUAACCUGCUCAGGGUCUCAUCGCCUUUCCCAGCCAGGCCAGCGGCCAGAG